AACGACAAGGCAUCGAGUAAGCCCGUCAGGGAGCGAUUUUGGAUGAGAUGAGCAGCAUGAUGUGACAGUUGAUGUUGCAUUUCCCACAACCACCUCCUCAGUAGGACCCUGUGAGUACCCUCCUCAGCGCUUGUUCAAAAACAUUGUGGACAAUGUUGAGUUCAAGUGUGGGGGAGAUUUUAUGUCUUUUAUUAGUAUUUGGUUAUUGUGUUAUUUUUA
rnacentral:lncRNA from 1 species